rnacentral:lncRNA from 1 species
GGGAUGAGUCCUCGCGCCUGUGUGAUUUUUGGAGAGGCCAGCCUUUCCUUAGGAAAGGGCUGCGGAGUGAAGUCAGAGCCUGAGGAAUGUACAGAGAGGGGUACCCAGGCGUGUCCACCCACUUGGCCCACCUGGCAUAUAUGAGUGUUUGGAAAUAGAAGAAGAGACGCGAUGGCUGGUGGAUGGGAGCCAGGGAGAGGGGCUGACUCUGGGGAAAGAAACGUCCCUCUGGCGUAUCCUGAAAGGCUUGGAGGUAUUGCUCUAAACAGGCACACAGAUAACCUUCUUUUUCCUGAAUGCUAAGUCAACGACAAGGAUCCUUUUUCAUUUGUUAAUUUAGUUUGCUUUUUAGGGGCUGCACCUGCGGCAUACAGACGUUCCCGGGCUUGGGGUCGAAUCGGAGCUGCAGCUGCAGGUGUACACGACAGCCAUAGCAACGCCAGAUCCUUCUUCCUCUGAGAGGUGCCAGGGAUCGAACUGAUGUCCUCAUGGAUACUGGUCGGGUUUGUAACCACUGGACCAUGAUGGGAACUCCUCGUUUCUGAAUUACCCACGGGGAAGAGGGAGGGACCAGAUUCCUGAGGGGUGUGUCCAUCCCGCGAAUUGCUGGGCGAAAAAAACGAAGCCACGCCAUGGUCACGGAGGAACACAGAUGGCCAUGCUGCUUGAUGGAGGCACCGAGGUUCCCACAAUGGCUUGGAGCAACUUCCCAGCCUCCUGACACUGCAGACAGAGCCAGGCCCCCAGAGGCUGCCGGGAUCUGCCAAGACCCCUGCCUGGUGACGACUACGGGCAGCUUCCCAGGUCCCUACAAAUGACGCCUGUGGGGCAGCAUGACCUGAGGGGAUGCAAACCCAUCUCAGCGGGGGUGUGAAACAGAACUUAACAAGAAUGGACAGGAGUUGCCCAGAGGCGCUGACCCCUCCCAAUACUCUUCGCCACCUGAGACCCGACGGCACAGCCUGAAAACCCCAUGCAGCAUCGGAAGCUUAGACGUUUCCAUAACAUCCUACUUAUCUUGACUCCCGGUUCAUAGACCACAGGUAUUUAGAGCGUUGCGCAGGCCAGGGUGGGGGCCGCCAGAACACCCGAGCACGUGCUUGGCUCAGAUGCCGGAAACCAGACCUGUCUAGACGUGGCCCCCGAGGUUGGGCGCUGGGCCAGCAGUUACUGAAAGAGUUCAGUCCUAGUGUGGGGACCACGCCUGGGAAUGAACUCUGCCCUGAGCCACAUGGGAGCGGGGCUCGGGUUCUGCUGGGGCUCGUGUUCUCUGGGCCAGGUGCUGUCUGGUCUCUCCCGAGGAAGAGAAAGGAGAGGAGACGGAGAGAUACAGAAGCAGAGCCUGCUAUCCAUCUGCUGCCAUGUCUGCCCACCCAGCGAGCGAGCAUCUAUUGUCUGUCAUUCUAUUCAUUAUCUGCAUAUCAUCUGUCUCUAUCUAUCUACUUAUCAUCUAUUCAUCAUCAUGUCUCCAUCAUCCAUUUCUUUUCCUUUUUUUUGUCUUUUUAGGGCCACACCCGUGGCAUAUGGAGGUUCCCAGGCUAUUGUGAAUAAUGCUCUGCAAUGAACACAGGGGUGCCCGGAUUUUUUUUUUUUUUUUUGUCUUUUUAGGGCCACACUCGUGGCACAUGGAGGUUCCGCGGCACAUGGAGGUUCCCAGCUCUAACUGGAGCCGUAGCCACCGGCCUACACCCGACAGCCACAGCAAUGCCAGAUCUGAGCCUUGUCUGCGACCUACACCACAGCUCAUGGCAACGCUGGAUCCUUAACCCACUGAGCAAGGCCAGGGAUGGAACCCCGAACCUCAUGGCUCCUAGUCGGAUUCGUUUCUGCUGAGCCACGAUGGGAGUGCCUCAUCCAUUUAUUUUCUAUUCUCU